UACGUAGGGUGCGAGCGUUAAUCGGAAUUACUGGGCGUAAAGCGUGCGCAGGCGGUUUGUUAAGACAGAUGUGAAAUCCCCGGGCUUAACCUGGGAAUCUGCAUUUGUGACUGCCGAGCUAGAGUGUGGUCAGAGGGGGGUAGAAUUCCACGUGUAGCAGUGAAAUGCGUAGAGAUGUGGAGGAAUACCGAUGGCGAAGGCAGCCCCCUGGGAUAACACUGACGCUCAUGCACGAAAGCGUGGGGAGCAAACAGG
rnacentral:rRNA from 1 species